UAUUUUAUAAUAAAUUAUUUUUAGUAAAUAUUUUAAUAAAUUAUUUUUAUUAGAUCAUAUAUGAUUAGGGGUCUCAAUGAGCUGAACACGAGCAAACUGAGGUCGGCUCGUGUCGAACACGAGCUGGCUCGUUAAAGCAUCUAGUCGGAAAAUUUAGCUCGUGUUCGGCUCGUUUAUUAACGAGCCAAAUACUACCCGGCUCACUAACGAUAAGUUAAAAGAAUUAAAAAAGAUAUGUACAGAAAAUAAAUUUAUGAGAUUAUAUGAGUCCCAUCAAGUUUUGAUCUAAUGGUUGAAACUUGUUUACAUAUACACCGGACAUUUUUAUAAUUGAGUUAGUUUUUAUAUUUAGGUUAGACUAAAAAUUAAAUAAUAAAAAUUUAUAUUAUAUAUAUAAUUAUUUAUUUAUUUAUAUAAAUAUAAAUUAUAUAAAUAUAAAAUAUAUGUAUUUGAGCUAUUAUCGAGCCGAACACAAAUAAGCUAACCCCAGCUCGUGUUCGACUCGUUUAUUAAACGAGCUAAAAAAUUCAGCUCGUAUUUGACUCGUUUACUAAACAAGCGACUUUAUCUCGAACUAAUUUCAAGCUCACCACUAGCCAGCUCGCGAACAACGAGCUGGAUUGCCACCCUUAUAUAUGAUAUCAAAUUCAUCCAUUAUAUUUUUUGCAUUAUCUUUUACUAUUCCAUAAAAUUAGCCAAACAUAUUUUAAGUUAUAUCUUCGUAUAGCAACAUUAUAAAUCAAACACAAUUUUACGUUUGCUGUCGACUAUUACGAAAUAGUCAGUUAUUUUAGGGAUAGUCAGUUAUCUCAAUGUACGUUAUACGCGAAUCAAAUGGAUCCAAGAGUUUUUAGUAUUAAUAAAAAAUGAUAAGACUAGUGUG
rnacentral:lncRNA from 1 species